UUAAGGCCAAAAUCAGCCCGUUUCUCUUUACAUCCCCAAACCCCAUUUCUCGUCAUGUUUUUUUUCCUCAAAAGCAGCAUAACAACGAGCCCCAGCUCUACGGAGAUCGACCAGCCAAGCCAAGCCUCGCUCGAAGAGAUCCACGAAGCCUCGGUCUACAACCUUGCCUGUCCUUUAUGUCCUUCUCUCCAUCAAGACGUUCGAUUCCAAUGGUUUUUCAGUUCCACGUCAGUUAACAAUCCGAAUUUCUAGCACUCCCUCAGUCCCACAUCGGUUCACAAUCCUAAUGGGACAAGAUUAUUCAACAUUGGAAUUGUUGGCCAUUAAAAGUUUGAAGAUAUAUAUGUGAAGUGUUUAUCUUAUGUUAUGGCAUUUAAGUGAUAAAAUUUUUUACACUAGUCUUGUUGAGAAAUGUAUUUGAUAGUCUUUUGUAUUCGUAAGGUUCUAUUUUUAUAUUUUUGGGCAAUUUAUUAGUAAAAUAUAAUUUUUAAUUUUUUUGAACAAAAAGUGAGUAUUAGUGGCGACCUACCUCUUGUCACAGAAAGAGAUUCAUAAAAAAAGAAAAUGACAUGCUUCUGUGGCGAGUU